rnacentral:lncRNA from 1 species
GGGCCAAGUCAGUGGCGUGUCUAGGCAAGAGGCUGUUCAGAGCAGUCUUGGAAAGUGAGGAAGAAGGCUAUCCAUCAAUGCGGCUUCAAUGAGAGGUGAUUGAGGAGAAACUGAUGAAUCCAUUCUGCCUUUCCAAGAAGUUGAUGAUGCCAUGAAGAUGGUGCAUUGGCAGAGUUAGGAAACUCACAAAAACACAAGGGAAGUUCCCUUAGACUUUUAAAACUCUUUUCAAU